rnacentral:rRNA from 1 species
GCGGAAGGAUCAUUACUGAGAGUACCGGGCUCUGCCUGGCUACUUUUACCCAUGUUUUUAGAGUACCAAAAGUUUCCUCGGCGGCUCUGCCCGCCGGUCGGACUCCAUUCAAACCCUUUGCAGUUGCAGUCAGCGUCUGAUAAACAAAAUAAUUACAACUUUCAACAACGGAUCUCUUGGUUCUGGCAUCGAUGAAGAACGCAGCGAAAUGCGAUAAGUAGUGUGAAUUGCAGAAUUCAGUGAAUCAUCGAAUCUUUGAACGCACAUUGCACCUCUCGGUAUUCCGGGAGGUAUGCCUGUUCGAGCGUCAUUUGUACCCUCAAGCUCUGCUUGGUGUUGGGUGUUUGUUCCGCCUUUGCGUGUGAACUCGCCCUAAAACAAUUGGCAGCCGGCGUACUUGUUUCGGAGCGCAGCACAUUUUGCGUUCAGAUCAGUGUACACUGGCACCCAAGAAGCCUUAUUUUAACGCUCUUGACCUCGGAUCAGGUAGGGAUACCCGCUGAACUUAA